rnacentral:rRNA from 1 species
CAGCAGCCGCGGUAAUACGGAGGAGGCAAGCGUUGUCCGGAAUCAUUGGGCGUAAAGAGCGCGUAGGCUGUUUUUUAAGUCAUGUGUGAAAACCUCAGGCUCAACUUGAGGACUGCAUAUGAAACUGGAAAACUUGAGUGCAGUAGGGGAAAGUGGAAUUCCUGGUGUAGCGGUGAAAUGCGCAGAUAUCAGGAAGAACACCGGUAGCGAAGGCGGCUUUCUGGGCUGCUACUGACGCUGAGGCGCGAAAGCUAGGGGAGCAAACAGGAUUAGAUACCCUGGUAGUCCUAGCUGUAAACGAUGGACACUAGGUGUGGGGAGUUAUCGACGCUUUCCGUGCCGGAGCUAACGCAUUAAGUGUCCCGCCUGGGGAGUACGGUCGCAAGACUAAAACUCAAAAGAAUUGACGGGGGCCCGCACAAGCGGCGGAGCAUGUGGUUUAAUUCGACGCAACGCGAAGAACCUUACCAAGGCUUGACAUCAUAUUGACGAUUAUAGAAAUAUAAUUUCUCUUCGGAGCAAUAUGACAGGUGGUGCAUGGCUGUCGUCAGCUCGUGUCGUGAGAUGUUGGGUUAAGUCCCGCAACGAGCGCAACCCUUGUCCCAUGUUGCUAACAGUUCGGUUGAGCACUCUUGGGAAACUGCCAGCGUAAAGCUGGAGGAAGGUGGGGAUGACGUCAAGUCAUCAUGCCCUUUAUGCCUUGGGCCGCACACGUGCUACAAUGGACCGUACAAAGAGCAGCGAUACUGUGAAGUGGAGCAAAUCUGUUAAAGCGGUUCAAAGUCCGGAUUGAAGGCUGAAAUUCGCCUUCAUGAAGUAGGAGUCGCUAGUAAUCGUGGAUCAGAACGCCACGGUGAAUACGUUCCCGGGCCUUGUACACACCGCCCGUCACACCACGAAAGUUGGAUACACCCAAAGAUAGUAUACUAACCGGCAACGGAGGGAACUAUUUAAGGUGGAGCCAGUGAUUGGGGUGAAGUCGUAACAAGGUAACCGUA